ensembl:lincRNA
GACUUUUUUUGUCAUUUCAUGUUUGUAAAAUUCCCAUUUACAAGAAAUUCCAUUCAAUAAAACCACAAAGAGCCUCCAAGUGUAGUUAAUACUCAUCAAACCUUAUAGUACCUCAUCAACAGAGCGGCGGUUCAGUUCACAAGCUCUCAGAAGCAAAAACAAACUGAUGUUCGUUCACCACUUUAACCACCAGCGCUCGAGUUCCGCUCAUGGAAACCUGCACGAGUGCACUUGAUAGUGUGAAAUUUACUGCAGCACAUGCAAAAGACACAUCCAGUCUGGCUUCUAAACCAUCCACCAUUGGCAGAUUUCGAUCAUAUCUCUCUCGCCGUGAAAAUCUAAAGGCCAUGAGUCUGUUUGCCAGCCUGAAGAGGAAGUUGUAGCAGUGUAGUGUGUUUUAGUCUGUGGUUAACGCAGCAUUUUUACUCUCUCCAGAGCUGUCAGUUGGCAGAAAGUCGAACGCUGGUCUUCAAGAACAACACUUUUAUACCUCUUUCCUUGUUUUUGAGCUCUUUGGAUUGAGCUUCAGAUUGCAAGCCAUGCACUCAAGUUCGUAUCCCAGUCUCAGCGCCCAGCUCUUCCUCUUCCUUGUCCCCGGCCUCCAUUCCAGAAGACGUCUUCUUCAGCAGUUCUCCUGAGGAGAAGAGGAACUUCUUGGCUGAGAGUGACGAGUGCAGCAGUGAGGAGGACCUUUUAGACCUCUGCCCUUCCCUGAGAGAUUCAGAAUAUUUCAGAGACCUGCAACUCGGAUCAACCGAGCCACCAAACACACAACCUACAGCCUUGAACGCACCCAACAAGAGUCCUACUUCUUUGAUACCUCUUCUGUCGACACCAGAAAGCGAAUCCGACCAGGAUUUCACAGAGUCAGACACCCAGCAACUUUUGCAGAUAGACCACACUUUGAUUUCCAGCAUGGAUCGCUUGAUUGCUGUCAAAACCUCAGAGUCUCAGGAUUAUCCGCCGUCGGACCAAGAUGAGGACUCAGACAUGGAUACCUUUCCUAUAUUGGUUAGAUCAAUGUCCACAUCUCGUAGGCACAGCUGGGAAUGUCCAGUGUCUCCGAUUGACCUUGGAAGAAGGUAUGACUCACUUUUUCAGUAGUCCUAAAGAGUUAAAGUGGUUGGACACAUUUUAAAUUUCUAAGGCUACAUUUACACGACAAUGAUGUAGCCAAAAAAGUUUUUCUCUUGCACUUAAAAAAAAAACGGUUUAGACAUUCUAUAAAUCAAUGAUGUAUUACGCAUACCAUGCCAGAAUUCGGUCAAUUUUUUAUCAGCAGUAUCUGUAAGGAAGUGAUAAUGUACCACCUGGUGGAUCGGUGCUGAUGUGUAUAUAGAAUUUGCCGGGUUGUCCAAGAUGCACCUUUUGGUUGUAAUGUGAAGUAAAUCCAGACUUUGUUAAUGAAGCAUUACCAAACCCUUAAGCAACAACAACACUACCACAUACUCCACCAUUGUUGUGUGUUUGUUUGCUCUUGCACCUACACCUUUCUACAAAUGUACAAUGCAUAUGCAAGAUGUCAGUUUGUAAAGACUUUCAUGUUUGAGUGCAUGUUGUCUGUUUGGAUCACACCAAUGUAAACAUUGCAUGGUUAUGUGUGUAGGUUCAGCUUAGACACUGCCGGAAUUGACAGCGAUGGGGAAAGAGAAGUCCAGUGUCUGGCCAAAAGUUCCCUUUUACCAUCAUCCUCCUUCUCCGAAAGUUCAGUGGAAGAAGCAACCAGUGCUGUUGAAAGUGAAAGUCCUAAAACACAAGUAACUAUCCUUAGUCAAGUAUGAUGAAAACAGUAUUUUAGUAUAAGCAGAGCAAGGCACUCAUUCUGGAGGGCUACUGUCCUGCAGAGCUUACUGGGGUUGCAAGGAAGCUAAUGCUCCAGGAACAGAGUUGGAUACCCCUGUAGAUACUGUUAAAGUUAAAUAGGAAGUCGGAAUAGUUCACCAAAAAAUUGAAAUGACCCCAU